rnacentral:rRNA from 1 species
UUAUUGGGCGUAAAGCGUCCGCAGGUGGGUUUUUCAAGUCUGCUGUUAAAGCGCAGUGCUUAACUCUGUAACGGCGGUGGAAACUGAGAGACUAGAGUAUGGGUAGGGGUUGCGGGAAUUCCCAGUGUAGCGGUGAAAUGCGUAGAUAUUGGGGAAGUAACACCAGCGGCGAAGAGCGCGCAACUGGGCCAUUACUGACACUCAUGGGACGAAAGCUAGGGGUGCGAAAGAGGAUUAGAUACCCCUGUAGUCCUAGCUGUAAACGAUGGGUACUAGGUGUUGACCGUAUCGACCCGGUCAGUGCCGUAGCUAACGCGUUAAGUACCCCGCCUGGGGGAGUAUGCACGCAAGUGUGAAACUCAAAGGAAUUGACGGGGGCCCGCACAAGCGGUGGA